rnacentral:rRNA from 1 species
UACAGAGGGUGCGAGCGUUAAUCGGAAUUACUGGGCGUAAAGCGUGCGUAGACGGUCAAGUAAGUCGGGUGUGAAAGCCCCGGGCUCAACCUGGGAAUUGCAUUCGAGACUGCGUGGCUAGGGUGCGGAAGAGGGAAGCGGAAUUUCCGGUGUAGCGGUGAAAUGCGUAGAUAUCGGAAGGAACACCGGUGGCGAAAGCGCCUGUCUGGCCCAAUACUGACGCUGAUGCGCGAAAGCUAGGGGAGCAAACGGG